rnacentral:rRNA from 1 species
AAAGCCCUUUCGGGGGUAAGUAGAGUGGCGUCCGGGUGAGUAACACGUGGGUAAUCUGCCUCCGGGUGGGGAAUAACUCGCCGAAAGGUGAGCUAAUACCGCAUAAUGCAGCGGCACCAAAUGGUGAUUAGUUGUUAAAGCGGGGGACCCUUCGGGGCCUCGCGCCUGGAGAGGAGCCUGCGGCAGAUUAGCUAGUUGGUGAGGUAAUGGCUCACCAAGGCUUCGAUCUGUAGCUGGUCUGAGAGGACGGCCAGCCACACUGGCACUGACACACGGGCCAGACUCCUACGGGAGGCAGCAGUGGGGAAUUUUGGGCAAUGGGCGCAAGCCUGACCCAGCAACGCCGCGUGAGGGAGGAAAUCCUUCGGGAUGUAAACCUCACAAGCAAGGGAAGAGCGCUACAGGUCUAAUAAGUCUGUAGUCCGACGGUACCUUGCGUAAGCCACGGCUAACUACGUGCCAGCAGCCGCGGUAAUACGUAGGUGGCAAGCGUUGUUCGGAAUUAUUGGGCGUAAAGGGCGCGUAGGCGGUUUGUUAAGUCGGCUGUGAAAGCCUGGGGCUCAACCCCAGAGGGUCGGCCGAUACUGGCAAACUAGAGUACGGAAGAGGUAGCUGGAAUUCCCGGUGUAGCGGUGAAAUGCGUAGAUAUCGGGAGGAACACCUGAGGCGAAGGCGGGCUACUGGGCCGAUACUGACGCUGAUGCGCGAAAGCCAGGGGAGCGAACGGGAUUAGAUACCCCGGUAGUCCUGGCCCUAAACGAUGGACACUUGGUGUGUCGGGUUAUUCAGUCCCGGCGUGCCGGAGCUAACGCGUUAAGUGUCCCGCCUGGGGAGUACGGUCGCAAGGCUG